GGCGGGCGGGCAGGCGGGCGGAGCAAGCUCGUCGGGCGCCCGUCUCUUAUGCAUGAGUAGCUGGAAGGAAGGAAGGAAUUCUAUAGCCGAGCGAGUGCCACGGUGCGAAGAGAGGGAAAGUGAGAGCGCGAACGGCCCGCCAGGCGCAGACCCGAGAGCGACCGCCGCCGCCGCCGCGCCAGCAGAGCGAGGAUCUGCAGCGGGCGACGGUGCAGGUCGAGCGCCAGGAGGAAUGGCCUCCGGAGCCAGCGGAGAGGCGGCGCUCGACGCGACGGCCAGGCCGUGGGCGGAGCCGAGGGGAGCCGCGUCUGUGCUCGCGCAAGAAUUCAGGCUCAGAAGCUCAACCAAACCCCGUCUAUUCUCAAAUUGUCAUACGUGUUCGGGUAGGAAGACCAACAAACAGCGUGGAUCUCGUUUUUUUGUACAAAUCGAAAAUCAAAGUUUGUUAUAGGAACCCUUCGUGACCUGUGAUUAAAACAUAUCUUUACUCGUACAAUACUUUUUUAAUGUUUAGAGAGAAAUAAAGAUUACCUUCCCCUGUCACACAACACACGCACCCCGUCACCCCAAAUUCAACAGGCAGACAAGACAACAAGGUAAAUAAAUACCAAACAAGUAUCUGUUGAAUUGUUUAUUUUAGAAUUAGAUGUUUUAGAUUCUAGAAGAAAAAGCCAGCGAGUUGCCUCGUCCUAUUUUCACUUUAGUGGUCCAAGCGAGAGAAGAGAAGAGAGAGAGAUAACCGAUGAGAUACUCAAAAACUGAUAAAUGAAAUCUGAAUAAAGUCUUCAGUCGAUUAGUGUAAGAACAAAAAAAAAUGAAGAGAAGAAGAAAGAAGCACGGAAUGUAAACGGAAAAAGGAAGAAAGACUUGACAUCAAAGAAAGUGUGAAACGGAAUCCUGAAACUAAAGAGAUGGAAACGUAAGUGUAAAGAAAGCGGAUAAGAAAAGUGUAUAUUUUUCUUCAAAAAAUGUGUUGAGUAAUAUAUAUUUUGUCUCGUGCCCUGUUCCUCUUUCGAAACCUUUGGAAUAUUUGUCCCUUUUGAAAUAUUUGAAAUAUAGAAAUCAAAACAAA